rnacentral:rRNA from 1 species
UAGGGAAUCUUCCACAAUGGACGCAAGUCUGAUGGAGCAACGCCGCGUGAGUGAAGAAGGCUUUCGGGUCGUAAAACUCUGUUAUUGAAGAAGAACGUGUGUGACAGUAACUGGUCAUGCAGUGACGGUAUUCAAUCAGAAAGUCACGGCUAACUACGUGCCAGCAGCCGCGGUAAUACGUAGGUGGCAAGCGUUGUCCGGAUUUAUUGGGCGUAAAGCGAGUGCAGGCGGUCUUUUAAGUCUGAUGUGAAAGCCUUCGGCUUAACCGAAGAAGGGCAUCGGAAACUGGGAGACUUGAGUGCAGAAGAGGAGAGUGGAACUCCAUGUGUAGCGGUGAAAUGCGUAGAUAUAUGGAAGAACACCAGUGGCGAAGGCGGCUCUCUGGUCUGUAACUGACGCUGAGGCUCGAAAGCGUGGGUAGCAAACAGGAUUAGAUACCCUGGUAGUCCACGCCGUAAAACGAUGAAUAC